rnacentral:rRNA from 1 species
UACCGCGGUUAGACGUUAGACCCUAGUUGAUGAAUUUCGGCGUAAAGUGUGGUCUAGGUUUAGGUGUAUUAAAGUUGAACACUCCCUUUGCUGUGAUAUGCUUUUGGAGGGGUGAAGCCCGCAUACGAAAGUAGCUUUAGUCUUUCCUGAACCCACGACAGCUGAGGAA